GCCUCUAUAGCUCAGUUGGUAGAGCAACAAAUUCGUAAUUUGUAGGUCGGCAGUUCGAUUCUGCCUAGAGGCUCCA
rnacentral:tRNA from 1 species